AACAAAACCCCGUGGCAUGAUACAGACUUCUGGCUCAGCAGGGAAUGCACUUGCCUCCAAGCAUAGCAGCCUGUUUGAUCACUUGGACCCAGGGAGUGGAACGAGAGAAUCAACUUUUGAAAGUUGUCCUCUGGCCUCUACAUGUGAUCUCUCAUUACACACACCUAAGAAAUUAAUACAUAUUUAAAAAUUAAUUUUUCUUUUGCAUCCAGAGGAGACACAGAAAUACUCUUGACAUGCUGUGAAUAUGACAGUCCACACACAAUGUUACACUAUGAGUGUGACAUCUCCCCAUUAGCGCAUGUGCUCCAUUUGGUCUCCAGUCAGUGCGACCAUUUGGGGAAAUAGUGGAAACUUUGGGAGAUGAAGCCUAUCUGGAGGAAAUGGGUGGCAGGGUUCAUUCGUAGAAAAUACCUAGUCCCAGACACCGUUUUCUUCUUCCUUGCUACCAUGAAGUGAACCUUUUCCACCACACACUCCCACUGCCAUCUUGUUCAGCCUCAUGAGUCAAGGGUUGGUUUCUGGCCAGGCUGAGCAAGUAAUUAAUUGGGUUUAUUGAAAGACAUCAGCUGUGGAUUUGUGGCAUAGACAAAGCACUUUUUUGUCUCACUGUUUAUUCAGAUUUUAUCUGUUCAGAUGUAAAGAGUAGAUUCCGGUGUCACAAAGACCUCCAGGGAUUAGCAUCAACUCCUUUCAGUAAAUGAUCUCUUCUGCCACGUCCCAUGGAAACUAAGUCUAAGUCUCGGCUAAGUCACUGAAGUCUCGGCAGGGCCACAAACAGUCCAGUUCGCUGCUCUUAAAAGGUAUUUCAAUCUUUGAAAAUGUUUGUGUAUGUGUACCCCAUUUGUGUGCUGGUGACUGUGAGCUGCUCUACAAGUGCUGCUAACCAAACUCAAGUCCUGUGGAAGAGCAGCAAGUACUCUUAGUCACUGAGCUAUCUCUCAAACCCCUGUAUUUCAAUUCUUCAUUCAUUCAUUCACAGGUAGAAUGAAUUAUGUGCUGUUCACAGAAAGGGAUAGUUUUGAUGGUCUAAUACUUCAAGCUUAUAUCUAAAAAUCCACAGCUGUAAAAGCAACAUAAAGAGAUUCUAAAACAUCUGACCUCAUCUGUUAAUGUCAAUUCAUGUAAUACUCAAUUUAUACAAUAAAUGAAUAACUGGGACAAAGGAAAAGAGGCCCCAGAAUUUGUGUACUAUAAUCUGUGAAACUGUGAGCCAAGAUUAAUGUUUCCUCAUUUUAUGUUAGUUAUUUGGUCAGGGCCACAGUACAGUAACUAAUAUUGUGGGUAGGAUGGAAGAGAAAGAAUGCAGAGGCCCACUGUGUGGCUGGUACCAAAGUCCUGGAAUGAGUUAACAAAAGUGGGAGUAUGGAAGGGAUGGA
rnacentral:lncRNA from 1 species